rnacentral:rRNA from 1 species
AACGAACGCUGGCGGCAUGCCUAACACAUGCAAGUCGAACGAGACCUUCGGGUCUAGUGGCGCACGGGUGCGUAACGCGUGGGAACCUGCCCUUAGGUUCGGAAUAACUCCCCGAAAGGGGUGCUAAUACCGGCUAAUGUCUUCGGACCAAAGAUUUAUCGCCUUUGGAUGGGCCUGCGUUGGAUUAGCUAGUUGUUAGGGUAAAACCCUACCAAGGCGACGAUCCAUAGCUGGUUUGAGAGGAUGAGCAGCCACACUGGUACUGAGACACGGCCCGGACUCCUACGGGAGGCAGCAGUGGGGAAUAUUGGACAAUGGGGGGAAGCCUGAUCCAGCUAGGCCGCGUGAGUGAUGAAGGCCGUAGGGUUGUAAAGCUCUUUUACCCGGGGUGAUAAUGACAGUACCGAGAGAAUAAGCUCCGGCUAACUCCGUG